rnacentral:rRNA from 1 species
UACGUAGGGGGCAAGCGUUGUCCGGAUUUAUUGGGCGUAAAGCGCGUGUAGGCGGCUAGAUAGGUCCGCUGUGAAAACUUGAGGCUCAACCUCAAGAGGUCGGUGGAAACCAUCUAGCUAGAGUCCGGAAGAGGAGAGUGGAAUUCCUGGUGUAGCGGUGAAAUGCGCAGAUAUCAGGAAGAACACCCGUGGCGAAGGCGGCUCUCUGGGACGGUACUGACGCUGAGACGCGAAAGCGUGGGGAGCGAACAGG